UUUGCUUUUAAACUGGAAAAUAAAUCAUCCUAAAAGUGAAUCCUGCCUAGACAAUGGACUUCUUAAUUUUAGAAGCCUGAGGACAACCCAAAUGAAAUGGUGCAUCAAUGGCCUUUGCUUGAUUUGAAGUGUUGUAUGAAGAGGACCGGGCGGAGUGGAUGGACAGAGCCGCUGCCCACUUCACUCUCGCUUCUGAACCUGUGUGUAGCAGCCAACCUCCACUGCUGUAGCCAUCUGUGGGCACCCAGAGGUCUGUGACUACUUUAACAUGACUCAGCGGAAGUUAUCACUGGCAUCACUAACAUGGAUUCACGGAGCAACACAAUAGCGAACCCCCCCCCACCAGUGAAUGUCUGUCUGCAGCUUGUUAUCCGUUGGCGUGAGGCGGAGUGUGACAGUGUGAUAAUCCCUGCCAAUGUGUGCUGCUGACCCUGUGAUGUGCUGCAAGACCUGCCUGCCUCUGGCUUAUCAGGUGCGCAGGCCGAUGCAUAUGGUGCUUCAAUCAUCCAGGAUGUGAGGGAGCUUGCUGUCUGAUAUCCAGUAUAAGCUGUGUGACACUUUGCAGAGGCCGCUUUCACAUUUAGCACAGUUCACACACAGAGAUCUAACUGUCAUCUUUAACACAGGGAAAGAGGACGACGCCACUCCAGUCAGUCAAAUAUAUCAGCUUGGGGACACAGUGGGCUAAUCUCACAUGCGUUUAUGCAUGGUAACCUUUAUGUGCAGUGUAACUUGUAUUCCUGUUACUGACCUCUCCAUCAGACAUAAUGAAGAAUGAAUGCACAAUACUUAGGUGAGGCAGCUCAGUCAACUUCUGAACAUAGGAUAUUUUACUUAUUAUGUGCUACAGUGUGUGAUUCUGCAGAUGAUUACAGGUGGUGAAAAUUUGUCUGUCUUUCAUAAUACUGUUUAGUCUUUUCAAUAAAUGUGUUUUUAUU